GCAUUGGUGGUUCAAAGGUAGAAUGCUCUCCUGCCACGCGGGCGACCCGAGUUCGAUUCCCGCCCAAUGCA